CAAUAGCGUAUAUUAACGUUGUUGCAGUUAAAAAGCUCGUAGUUGGAUUUCUGGAGGGAGCGUCGGCCCGUAUUUACGAGUGCGUGACGUCUCUGUCCAUCCUUGCGGGAAGGCUCGGCAUUGAUUUGUUGUGUCGGAUCGCAUCAUUUACUGUGAAAAAAUUAGAGUGUUCAAAGCAGGCUUUCGCUUGAAUACAUUAGCAUGGAAUAAUAAGAUAGGACUUUGGUGCUAUUUUGUUGGUUGAGCCUAAAGUAAUGAUUAAUAGGGAUAGUUGGGGGCACCUGUAUUGCGUUGUCAGAGGUGAAAUUCUUGGAUUUACGCAAGACAAACAGCUGCGAAAGCGUCUGCCAAGGAUGUUUUCAUUAA
rnacentral:rRNA from 1 species